GUCCUGCUGGUCAGCGGAGUCGCGGCGCUGGUGGCGGCGCUGCUGGUGGCCGCGUUCCUGCCGCGGCCGGGGCGC
rnacentral:tRNA from 1 species